AGUCGAACGGGGACCUUCGGGUCUUACGUGGCGCACGGGUGAGUAACGCGUGGGAAUCUACCCCAAAGUCGGGGAUAACCGCUGGAAACGGCGGCUAAUACCGGAUACGCCCUGAGGGGCAAAGCUUUUGCGCUUUGGGAGGAGCCCGCGUCCGAUUAGCUAGUUGGUGGGGUAAAGGCCUACCAAGGCUGCGAUCGGUAGCUGGUCUGAGAGGAUGAUCAGCCACACUGGGACUGUGACACGGCCCAGACUCCUAUGGGAGGCAGCAGUGGGGAAUCUUGGACAAUGGGGGCAACCCUGAUCCAGCCAUGCCGCGUGGGUGAAGAAGGCCUUAGGGUUGUAAAGCCCUUUCGGCGGGGAAGAUGAUGACUGUACCCGCAGAAGAAGCCCCGGCUAACUCCGUGCCAGCAGCCGCGGUAAUACGGAGGGGGCUAGCGUUGUUCGGAAUCACUGGGCGUAAAGGGCGCGUAGGCGGACCACCAAGUCAGGGGUGAAAGCCCUGGGCUCAACCUAGGAAGUGCCCUUGAAACUGAUGGUCUUGAGUCCGGGAGAGGAGAGCGGAAUUCCCAGUGUAGAGGUGAAAUUCGUAGAUAUUGGGAAGAACACCGGUGGCGAAGGCGGCUCUCUGGACCGGCACUGACGCUGAGGCGCGAAAGGGUGGGGAGCAAACAGGAUUAGAUACCCUGGUAGUCCACGCCGUAAACGAUGUGCGCUAGCCGUUGGGCAACCUAGUUGUUCAGUGGCGCAGCAAACGCAUUAAGCGCACCGCCUGGGGAGUACGGCCGCAAGGCUAAAACUCAAAGGAAUUGAC
rnacentral:rRNA from 1 species